CGGGACGGGGUGGAGUAAUGUCUGGGAAACUAGCCUGAUGGAGGGGGAUAACUACUGGAAACGGUAGCUAAUACCGCAUAACGUCGCAAGACCAAAGAGGGGGACCGUUCGGGCCUCUUGCCAUCGGAUGUGCCCAGAUGGGAUUAGCUAGUAGGUGGGGUAACGGCUCACCUAGGCGACGAUCCCUAGCUGGUCUGAGAGGAUGACCAGCCACACUGGAACUGAGACACGGUCCAG
rnacentral:rRNA from 1 species